GCUGAGUAUAUUAGGAAUAACUACAGAGAAGAAUUCAGGCUUUUACUGAGGCCGUGGGGGAUGAGUUCUACUCUUCCCUCUUGACUUGGCCCUAGUAGUCACCACAGCUUGACCCUUUCAUUUCAACUCCUCACUGCACAUAGCCUGAUAAACCAAGAAGCAGGAGCCUCUGCUCAUACUGUGGUACUUUAUUCACAUGCCAGCCUUGCAGAAAAGGCUCCCAUUGUGUUACCCCAUCACUCAACCUACCACUCAACUUUUUCAUGAAGUUCUGAAAUUGGUUGAAUAGAAACAAUGUACACAAUGUUAAUAAGAGUAUAAAGUGUUAAUCAAGAGUCAACUUGAUAUUCAUGAGAAACAUUGUUUGAUUUGUUUAAUAUUUGGCUAUCUCUGAGUCCUAUAAACAAAGAUUUUAAUUGAAUGGUCCAUCAAUACCUCUCUAUGAGAAGUUUAAAAUUUUUAAAAAUAAAUUUGCUUUAUUAUAA
rnacentral:sRNA from 1 species